rnacentral:lncRNA from 1 species
AUAUAUGAUGAACUCUCAGAAGAAAACACAGGCAAACAUCUUCUUGGCCUUGGAUUUGGCAGUCUUAGGUAUGACACCAAAAAGCAACAAAAGAAAAGAAUAAGUAAAUAGAGCUUCAUUAAAAUUAAAAAUUUGUGUAUCAAAGGACACUAUCAAGAGAGUAAAAAGGGGCCAAGCAGGGUGGCUCAGGCCUGUAAUGGGAGGCCAUUACAGGAGAGGGAGGCCAAGGCAGGAGAAUCACCUGAGCUCAGGAGUUCAAGAACAGCCUGGGCAACAUAGUGAGAUCUUGUGUCUACCAAAAAUAAAAAAUAAUAAAAAAUUAGCAGGCGUGUAACCUGCAUCUGUAGUUCCAGCGACUCAAAGGCUAAGGUGGGAGGACUGCUUGAACCUGGGAGAUGGAGGCUGCAGUGAGCUAUGAUCACACAACUGCACUCCAGCCUGGGCAAGAGAGUAAGACCCUGUCUCAAAAUAAAAUAAAAUAGAAUAAGAGAGAAAGUAAAAAGAAAACCCACAGAGAGGGAAAUAUAUUUGUAAAUUAUACCUCUGAUAAGUAUCUAGUAUCCAGAAUAUGUACAGAACUCCUACAGCUGAACGAUUAAAAGACAAAGAGCUCCAUUUGAAAAUGGGCAAAGCGGGCUGGGAGCAGUGGCUCAUGCCCUGCACUUUGGGAGGCUGAAGUGGGAGGAUCUCUUGAGGCCAGGGGUUCAAGAACAGCCUGGGCAAAAUAGCAAGACCCUGUCUCUACAAAAUAAAAAUUAAAAAUUUAGCUGGCCAUGGUGGUGCAUGCCUGUCAUCCCAGCUACUUGGGAGCCUGGGGCAAGAAGGUCUCUUAAGCUCAGGAUGCAGUGAGCCAUGAUCAUGGCACUGCACUUCCUCCUGGACAAUAAAGUGAGACCACCCUCCAUCUCUUAAAAAAAAUGGGCAAAGGACUUGAAUGCACAUUUCUCCAAAAAAGAUAUACAAAUAGCCAACAAGCACAUGAAAGGAUGCUCAAUAUUAUUAGUCAUUAGGAAAUCAGAACCAUGAUGAGAUACAACUUCAAACUCACCAGAUUGGCCAUAAUUUUUUAAGUAGAAAAUCAGCAUUGAUGAGGAGGUAGAGAAUUUGGAACCCUCAUAUGUUGCUGAUAAAAAUGCAAAAUGGCACAGCCACUGUGCAAGACAGUUUUGUGGUUCCUUAAAAAGUUAAAUAUAGAAUUACCACAUGACCCAGCCAUUCCAUUUCUAGGGAUAUAUUUGAAAGGAUUGAAAACAGUUAUUCAAGCAAAUACUUGUACACAAAUGCUCAUAGCAGAAAUCUCCACAAUAGCCAAAAGGUGUAAACAACUAAAAUGUUCAUCAAUUGAUAAAUAGUUAAGCAAAAUGUGGUAUAAUCACACAAUGGAAUAUUAUUUGGCCAUAAAAAGAAUGAAGUACUGAGUCAUGCUACAACACGGAUGAACCUUGAAAGCAUUAAGUUAGGUGAAAGCAACCAGACACAAAAGGUCACAUAUUGUAUGAUUUCAUUUAUAUGAAAUAUCCAGAACAGGUAAAUUAUCAGAGGCUGUGGGUAGAGGAGGAAGGGGGAAUGACUACUAAUGAGUACGUGAUUUUUUCCCGGGGGAGAGUGGCCGGAGGGUGAUGAAAAUGUUUUGGAGUUAGAUGGAGGUGAUGGUUGCACGACGCUGUGCAUGUACUAAACGCCACUGAAUUGUACACUUAGUUAAUGAUUAAUUUUAUGUUAUGUGAAUUUCAUCCCAAUUUUUUUUAAAAAAGGAAAGAACAUUCAAGCAAAUACAAAUCAGUUAAGGAAUGUAAAAGUAGUCUGCAAAAAUUAAGAUUUUGUAUGAUGACUGUAGCUUAGCAGUUGUUUGUGAGCAUAUGUUGUCCUCCUUUUGGGGGAUUUCCAGACAGAGGACUAUGCAAGGAAAUAUGGCUCCUAUUAUUUAAGUGAAAGCAUGAAUAGGAAUAUUCUGUUUUGUAAAGAUAAUGUGAAAACAUUUGUAUCAAAAGACUGAUAGAGCCAAGCUAUAUGAAGUAAAUAAAGGCUCUAAUGUCAUGAGAACCUCGAGAGUGCUAUAAGCAAACUUCUGAAGGAAUAAAAUGGAAGAAGAAAUUAUGUCUUCAGGAGAAAGUCCAAACUAACUAGGACAGCAAUAUGAAGUGAAUUUUGGCUAUACAGCUUCUUUCUUUUCUUUUUUCUUUUUCUUUUCUUUUUUUUCUUUUCUUUUUUUUGAGACAGAGAGUCUCACUGUGUUGCCCAGGCUGGAGUGCAGUGGCACGAUCUCAGCUCACUGCAGCCUCUGUCUCCCAGGUUCAAGCGAUUUUCCUGCCUCAGCCUCCUGAGUAGCUGGGAUUACAGGUUCUUGCCACCAAGCCCAACUAAUUUUUGUAUUUUUAGUAGAGAUGGGGUUUCACCAUGUUGGCCAGGCUGGUCUUGAACUCCUGACCUCAGAUGAUCCGCCCGCCUUGGUCUCCCAAAGUGUUGGGAUUACAGGCAUGAGCCACUGCGCCCGGCCCUAUAUAGCUUAUUUCUUCAAUUCUUCAUAAUAACCCUAAAGGUAUAAAUUAUUAUACCCAUCUAUGGCAAAGAUUACUAGUCCCUUUCUCUACCAUAUCCAUUUUCUCUUUCAUAGAGAUAAAAAGUUUUAGCUGAGAACAUAGCUGCCCAAAAUAAAAAUAUCCCCCAGACUCCCUUGCAGCUAGGUGUAGUUUUAUACAGUUGGCCAUGUGACUGGGUUGGCCAGAAUUUAGUCACAUGGCCAACUGUAUAAAACUAGAAGCAUCAUAUGGAAACUUCUGGGAAACUUCUGAGGAGAAAACUGAUUUAUGCCUUGUUCCUUCUUCCCUCUUUUUCCUUCCCUCCUUCUUGAAGGAUAUAAUGUGUCUCCAGAGGCACCAACCUGGACCAUAAGAUGACUUCUAUAUUAGGAAUAGAAGUCAAGCAUGGCAGAUCAAAAAGAUAGGAGCCAG